CCCCUUAUUCUUUGUAUUGCAUGUAGGUGAGUAUUGUCUUACUUUAUUCUUAGUGUGAGCAGAUUGGGAUUGACUAACCUAACUAAGGUAACUGAUUCCAGUUUUUUCUCCUUCACAAGUGAGAAAGGAAGUUGAAUGACUGAUCCAAGCCAAGAAGGUCUCCGACUGGACCUUUUCGCUUUGCUUAAGAAGAUAGGACUACCAUUGGCAAGAAGGGAAAGUCUCC
rnacentral:lncRNA from 1 species